UACGAAGGGGGCUAGCGUUGCUCGGAAUUACUGGGCGUAAAGGGCGCGUAGGCGGACAGUUUAGUCAGAGGUGAAAGCCCAGGGCUCAACCUUGGAACUUGCCUUUGAUACUGGCUGUCUUGAGUUCGGGAGAGGGUGAGUGGAAUGCCGAGUGUAGAGGUGAAAUUCGUAGAUAUUCGGCGGAACACCAGUGGCGAAGGCGACUCACUGGCCCGAGUACUGAC
rnacentral:rRNA from 1 species